rnacentral:rRNA from 1 species
UACGAGGGGGGCAAGCGUUGUUCGGAAUUACUGGGCGUAAAGCGUGCGCAGGCGGUCUGUUAAGACCGAUGUGAAAUCCCCGGGCUUAACCUGGGAACUGCAUUGGUGACUGGCAGGCUUUGAGUGUGGCAGAGGGAGGUAGAAUUCCACGUGUAGCAGUGAAAUGCGUAGAGAUGUGGAGGAAUACCGAUGGCGAAGGCAGCCUCCUGGGCCAACACUGACGCUCAUGCACGAAAGCGUGGGGAGCAAACAGG